CUUCCCGUGGUGGGGGGUGUCCGUUGCUGACCUUUGAUGCCUCUGUGUGUGUUUUCGGUCUCACUUGGGUAAAUUUAGGAGUCUGCAAAGAGCCAUUAUGGUUAAUCACAGUGGUCCGUCCUCCAGGCUUCACUUUCUCCUUGUGGUGUUGAUCGCCAAUGAUAGUUCCGUUCUCCUCUGCUUGCACAGGCCACACUGCAUGCCCACACUGCAGCAGGGGUCGGCACAGCGGGCUGUUCCUCGCGCUGAGCACAGCACCUCUAUCUCAGGCUUGUGACUUCCAGGGACAACGGGACUUUAUAAAUCCUGGGAUUUCCUAGGUUGUUGGGGUCAUUAGCUUGCAUUCCUCUAGUAGCAGAUACAUCACUUUCUUUGUCCUUCUGGGCUGCUUUAGCAAAGUACCACCGAUCUGGUGGCCUAUAAACAAUGGAAAUUUAUUUCUCACAGAUACGCAGGGUUUAAUUAAAGAUCAGGGUGCCACCAUGGGUGAGUGAGGGCACACUUCCUGAAAGGAAAUGAGAGAACAAAGAAAGACUUGACCAGAGUGACUCCAUCUCAAGAGGCUAAAACUAACUUACCCCAAGUCAGUGUCACAAGUCAGUUACUAAGAAAAACCACACUUACCGAAAAACCCUCUUGAAAGGCAUUACACAAACAGAAAA